UACGUAGGGUGCGAGCGUUAAUCGGAAUUACUGGGCGUAAAGCGUGCGCAGGCGGUUUUGCAAGUCAGAUGUGAAAGCCCGGGGCUCAACCUCGGAACGGCAUUCGAUACGGGACGGCUGGAGACCGGGAGAGGAGAGUGGAAUAGCCAGUGUAGAGGUGAAAUUCGUAGAUAUUGGCUGGAACACCGGUGGCGAAAGCGGCUCUCUGGCCCGGUUCUGACGCUGAGGCGCGAAAGCGUGGGGAGCAAACAGG
rnacentral:rRNA from 1 species